UGGGGAAUUUUGGACAAUGGGCGAAAGCCUGAUCCAGCAAUGCCGCGUGUGUGAAGAAGGCCUUCGGGUUGUAAAGCACUUUUGUCCGGAAAGAAAUCCUCUGGGUUAAUACCUCGGGGGGAUGACGGUACCGGAAGAAUAAGCACCGGCUAACUACGUGCCAGCAGCCGCGGUAAUACGUAGGGUGCAAGCGUUAAUCGGAAUUACUGGGCGUAAAGCGUGCGCAGGCGGUUUUGUAAGACGGAUGUGAAAUCCCCCGGGCUUAACCUGGGAACUGCAUUCGUGACUGCAAGGCUAGAGUAUGGCAGAGGGGGGUAGAAUUCCACGUGUGAGCAGUGAAAUGCGUAGAGAUGUGGAGGAAUACCGAUGGCGAAGGCAGCCCCCUGGGCCAAUACUGACGCUCAUGCACGAAAGCGUGGGGAGCAAACAGGAUUAGAUACCCUGGUAGUCCACGCCCUAAACGAUGUCAACUAG
rnacentral:rRNA from 1 species